UUUUUUCUGGAUAGUUCCGAAUCACUCGGGGAACGAAUUGCGACUGGGCAAUCUUGGGAACUGCUCUACAAUCAACACAACUGAAUAUAAAUUAUUCCAUAUCUGGGAUUUUAUUUUACCGAUAUAACUGUCAACAGUUCAUAGUUUGAAGAUAACCUCUCACAAAUAUAUGCAGGAUUGGGUUCAUUAGGAGAUUUUUCAUUCCAAUUGGGUUUUCCUAACAUUGUGUUUUCCUUACUACUGAUAUGAUAAUGUAUAGUUAUUUUACAUACAGCCAUAAUUGUGUUUUGCUCUUUAUGCACUAUUAUUUUUGUUAUUGUAACAAAUUAUGAUAUAUGGAUUAAGCAUAAUGCUAGGCCGAAAAUAAACAUACAUCAGUCUUCUGUUUCAGGACCUGGGAAGGCUAUAGGCUUCCCGAAGCCGUGAUGUGUUUUUUAUAAAACGGUGUGGCCGAAAAUUGGAGUAUCAAUAUCUCGAAAACUAAACGAGAUAUUAAAAAAUUUUAUUCUUCAUUUUUUACUAAGGGGUCCCAACACAUGAAUGACGUGAUACACAUGUAUAUAUACAACAUACGAAUUGUACUUGUGCCGAAUUCAAGUAAACUGUGACCAUGCAUGAUCAUCAGGACUGGCUAUCGGGGCACUUCAGUGUUUAUUGGUUAUUGAUAGAGAUGUUACCGGACAAAAAUGUAACUCGACAGAGAUUGAGCGAACCCUAAAGGAGUAAUGAUGACUCAACCGGAUACAACUCUAUCGUAACAAUUGUAUUGAUACAACUCUAUCAGAGACAACAAUGUUAUUUACAAAUAGUGACGAUUGUUUAGUGAAUUUAAUUCUUUUCUCGGUGAUGAAAGUGAUGUAUUCAGUGGAUUAAUUUUUUGUAUUUUUUCUUACGGAAUGGCUCAAUUUUUCAUUUAAGAUGCAAAAUUCAAAAAAGAGUCAUUCAUAAUUCAUUUUUUAAUUGGACUAUGGUUCUAUAACUAUAAAACGGCAACCAUUGGAAAGUAUGAAUCUUUUUUAAAUUAUACCUUGAAUUAUGGCAUAGUUGACCGUAAGAAUUAAAAAUCUAAUAACUGAUUUACGAUAUUCAACCGAAAACUGUAGCCGCUGAAUUUAGAAAUGCAUGUCUUUAAAAUAAACUCGUAUUUUUGUACAAGUUGGAUUAGAUGAAGGAUGCAAACUCUUAGUAAGACUUCAACCAGUACUGUUGUAGGCAUCUAACUCUAGCAUAAUAUCGAUAAUAAUAAAUUUAAUGGCGUGUGGAUGGCUUCUUCAGAAUAUAUUGACAAUAUUAACGGUAACUUACAAGGAAAAUGAUUUGACGUCCAACUUCUAACCGAAAAUGAAAAAACAUCUACUCUAAUGAUAUCUAAGAAAUCAAGAAGAUAUGAUAUUGAUCAUUCGGAAUGGAUAAUGCUAUUAUGGUAAGAACUUAUUUGGAUUAGUAUCAAACAAAAGAACAAAUAGUUGCUUAACUUUGUGACUUAACUAUUAAUGCAUAGUUAAAAGUUAGUAUAUCAAAAGACCUACUACUUAAAUUUUAAAAAAUUGAAAAAGAGUAGCUUUUCAUUUAUUACAACGGCUUCAGUGAUGAACCCCAUUUCAGAAGAGCUUGAAGCUAUUUCUGUUUUUGAAUAAAAAAUUUACUGAUUUACCUUCGCCAAUCUGUAGUUGUGUUGUAAAGGACUAGCAAAGAAAUUACACAGACCAGCACGACCACGACUAUUGUUUCAUUUUGUCCCGAGGAUGCAAGGAUUUUAUAAAUAAGUAACUUAUUCAUACAAGUAAAUAAUUACACAUAAUUGAAAAAUAUGUAAUACUUUAAUUACUAUAUGUUAUAAACUUAUUCUAUUUCGCCUUAUGAACUAUCGAUAUCAAUUAUACUACGGAUGUAGGUUAAUGAUAUUAUUCUAUUCGAUAUACUUAAAUAUACCCGUUUCAGAACUAGUAAAAUUCACUGUAAACUUACAUUAACAAUUAAGAAAGACACAUAAUACUAGUAAGACAUGGUUACUCUUUAUUUCUAUGAAUUAAAAACGAACUAACAACUACUACAGAAGCUUUAAAAAUACUUUGAAGGCUGCAAUUAUUUGUUUGGAUCCUGAAUGUGCUAAGACUAGCAAGUAGGAUUUUUAGCUCUGCAUGGAAAAAUGUGAGUGUCAUACAAAAUUUAAGUGACAACGAUUAGAGCUGGGUAAGCUUAAAAACAAGCCCUGUCUAGUGCUGCUGUAUCUAGUAUGACAGGAUAUAUAAUGCUUUGCAGAAUUUGAAGUGAAAUUUUAUGGCGAACAAAAUACUUAUCUAAUGUAAAUUAAUCAUAAUCAAGGUGUUAAAUAUAAGAGCUUUUUGGAUUUUUUUGAUGAAUAAAGAAUAAAAAUCUUAUGAUGAGCUUACACUAUCAGAUAAAAAGUAGGUGAGAUCAUUGUUGGAGAUCUAGAACACAGCUAAAAAAACAUACAAAGGAUUUCAACAAGGAUCUGCAGUUUCUUUCACUUAUUCUUAUGAAAAUCAUAAAUACAUGCUUUGCUUCUAAUAGUACAAAGUUGCCCAACGUUGGUCUAGAGACCGAGGAUUUGCCAGUACUUGGAACAAUUACGUACGUCAUUCUGAAAUACAAUGGUUGAUUAAUUCAUUCAUUAAUUCAUAUUUUGUUGUAGCAAAAAGAUGUAAAAUGGAAAAAUUGUGUAUUUUUGAAAAUUUUUUU
rnacentral:lncRNA from 1 species